GCGCCCGUAGCUCAGCUGGAUAGAGUACCUGACUACGAAUCAGGUGGUCGGAGGUUCGAAUCCUUCCGGGCGCGCCA
rnacentral:tRNA from 15 species